AUUGAACGCUGGCGGCGUGCCUAACACAUGCAAGUCGAGCGGUAACAGGUGUAGCAAUACAUGCUGACGAGCGGCGAACGGGUGAGUAAUGCUUCGGAAUCUACCUUAUGGUGGGGAAUAACUAGCCGAAAGGUUAGCUAAUACCGCAUACGUCCUACGGGAGAAAGCAGGGGAUCGCAAGACCUUGCGCCAAAAGAUGAGCCGAAGUCGGAGUAGCUAGUUGGUAGGGUAACGGCCUACCAAAGCGACGAUCCGUAGCUGGUGUGAGAGGACGACCAGCCACACUGGGACUGAGACACGGCCCAGACUCCUACGGGAGGCAGCAGUGGGGAAUAUUGGACAAUGGGGGAAACCCUGAUCCAGCGACGCCGCGUGUGUGAAGAAGGCCUGCGGGUUGUAAAGCACUUUUAGUGGGGAUGAAAUGUGCAGGGUUAAUACCUCUGCAUUUUGACCUAACCCACAGAAAAAGCACCGGCUAACUCUGUGCCAGCCGCCGCAGUAA
rnacentral:rRNA from 1 species